rnacentral:rRNA from 1 species
AUACUGAGGGUGCAAGCGUUAAUCGGAAUUACUGGGCGUAAAGCGAGUGUAGGCGGCUAUAUAAGUCGGAUGUGAAAGCCCUGGGCUCAACCUGGGAAUUGCAUUCGAUACUGUAUAGCUAGAAUUUGAGAGAGGGAAGUGGAAUUCCGGGUGUAGCGGUGAAAUGCGUAGAUAUCCGGAGGAACACCAGUGGCGAAGGCGGCUUCCUGGCUCAAAAUUGACGCUGAGGCUCGAAAGCGUGGGGAGCAAACAGGAUUAGAAACCCCGGUAGUCC